UGGGGAAUUUUGCACAAUGGGGGAAACCCUGAUGCAGCGACGCCGCGUGAUUUAGAAGGCCUUUGGGUUGUAAAAAUCUUUUUUACGGGAAGAAAAUGACAGUACCGUAAGAAUAAGGUCCGGCCAAAUACGUGCCAGCAGCCGCGGUAAUACGUAUGGACCGAGCGUUGUCCGGAAUCAUUGGGCGUAAAGGGUACGUAGGCGGCCUAGUAAGUUAGAAGUGAAAUAAUAUAGCUCAACUAUAGAAAGCUUUUAAAACUUAUAGGGUUGAGAGAUGGAAGGGAAAGUGGAAUUCCUAGUGUAGCGGUGAAAUGCGCAGAUAUUAGGAAGAAUACCGGUGGCGAAGGCGACUUUCUGGGCAUCAUCUGACGCUGAGGUACGAAAGCGUGGGUAGCAAACAGG
rnacentral:rRNA from 1 species